GCUUGCGGCCGAUUAGCUAGUUGGUAGGGUAACGGCCUACCAAGGCAACGAUCGGUAGCUGGUCUGAGAGGAUGAUCAGCCACACUGGAACUGAGACACGGUCCAGACUCCUACGGGAGGCAGCAGUGAGGAAUAUUGGGCAAUGCCCGAAAGGGUGACCCAGCAACGCCGCGUGGAGGAUGAAGGUCGUAAGAUUGUAAACUCCUGUUAGAGGGGACGAAUAGCACCGAUCGACUCGGUGUUUGACUGUACCCUCAGAGAAAGCCCCGGCUAACUACGUGCCAGCAGCCGCGGUAAUACGUAGGGGGCAAGCGUUGUCCGGAUUCACUGGGUGUAAAGGGCGCGCAGGCGGGUUAGCAAGUCAGAGGUGAAAUCCUACAGCUUAACUGUAGAACUGCCUUUGAAACUGUUAAUCUUGAGUGCGGAAGAGAGAGACGGAAUUCCAGGUGUAGCGGUGAAAUGCGUAGAUAUCUGGAAGAACACCAGUUGCGAAGGCGGUCUCUUGGUCCGUUACUGACGCUCAGGCGCGAAAGCGUGGGGAGCAAACAGGAUUAGAUA
rnacentral:rRNA from 1 species